UUUGUCAGCCAUUUUGUCAUUUUGUAUUUGAACAUAUUUAAACUUUAUUAUUUCGUGUUUAGAUGUCAACUGAAUAUGAAUGUCAGCCAAAUUGGACAAAAGAAGGUAGGAAUACGAUAUAUAUUAAUGCGAAAUGUCAAAAUUUAGUGGUUAUACUUAAUAUAAGUAGUGCUAAAAAAUAUCACACACUUUGCCAAUGCCAAAUAAUGGGCCAUUCCAUUUAAUAUCUACACCCCCCUGUCGACGACGUCUUCCAAUUUCACACCCCUAAGAAGCAUGUUUUUAUAAGCCCCCCUCGGAAAUUCAUCACAAUUUUGAAAGCCCUUCAGAAAUUUGAUGUUUUCUUCUAUAUUCUUAAGGAAACUAAGUGACCCCUCUGAAAUACCCCUGUCGACGACGUCACCAAUUUUUCCACCCUUCGGAAAUUUUCGGCCAUGAUUUUGUGACCCUUCGGAAAAUGUCGUCGACAGCCCUAAUUUUCGUGACCAUUCGGAAAAUGUCGUCGACAGCCCGUCCAGCUUUUCGCCUAUUUGCUGAAGGGGCUCGGAAAUUUCGCUGAUUAGCGAAAACCCUUAAGAAAAUGCGAUUUUUUUGUUCCCUUCGGAAAUUACCAUUUUUAGAACCCCUAAGAAAUACAAAUUUUCAGGACCCCUCCGAAGACGUCGUCGACAGGGGGGGUGUAGAUAUUAAAUGGAAUGGCCCAAUUUUUGUGAAGAAUGAAAGUCUGUUGCCCUGUUUAUGUUUUCCAGACAGGCAAAAGCUUUUAAAAGCAUCCAAGAAAGCGCAGUUACUGCAUUAGAUAACAUGGAAUGGCAAUGGGCAAUGUUAGCCCCCUACGGCCCUACCAGGCCCCCCCUAUUCGGAUGUCCUAAACUAAGGCCACUACAACUUAAUCUUUAGUUUCUGGUCCGGCCUUACUUCCGUUUACGACGCGGGCGGGCGGGUGGUAAGGACUAUAGGACAUAAUUACAAUUGUGGUUUGCCCACAUUUUUGUGGUCCUUUUUGUCCCUUUUCAUGCUAAUUGUAUCAAAAUAUUAUAAAAUGUUACGUAAAUUGCAUUAUUUUACAUUAUUUAAAAAUAGACAUGCACGACAGAUUACAAAGGAUUUUACAUAUCAAAAUGAUUAUUUAUAGGUUUUUUUACCUCGUACGGCUCGUAAUCUUGUGCAUGAUGGCCAAAUGAGAACGCAGACUUAUAAGGCAUCAGUUUUUACCCUUCAGUACUUCAUUUUGCUAGGUCUUUUUAGUGUAAGUUGAAUAUUUAUCGUUCUAUAAGUUAAAUCCUUCGCGAAAAUUUUCAAAAACUUGAAAUUAAUUGUAAACAACAAAAUAGUCCUGAAAUAAUACUCUACGGAGAAAUGAUGCGGGCGGCGGACCAGAAACUAAAGAUUAACUUGUAGUGGCCUAAUUUUUCUCCCCUCUCACUGCGGAUGGCAGAAAUUUCUUCCGUGGGGGGAGUGUGGAUCUUUCCUGGAACGAACCAAUGGUGGUGUUUUCCAGUAUAGCAAAAUUGAUAAUUUGUCAAUGUCGAUUUGUCAUGUACGAUUCGUAUUUUGGCGUAUGAAAAUUACUGCUGACGCCACGUUUCCUCUUUAUUUAGUUAUGGUUACUGUACAUACACAGGAAUAUGAAUCGUACAUGACAAAUCACAGCGUGUAAACGUGCCUUAAAAUAUAUAUACUAUAUAUGAUUUAAUGCAAAAUGCUGUGAAUAUUUAUCCCAAUGUGGAUCCCAAUGUCACAGAAUAGAGACCUUACAGAGAACCAGUUUAGCCAAAAAAGUAUUGUUUCCAUACCAUGAUUCACAGUCAUGGUUUGUCAUCAAAAUGCUGUUGCCAUGUCUCUAGCCAGUUUGUUUACGAGAGGCAAUUCACGCCCUGAACGCCCACCAUUUUGAAUAUGUUCAGGGGGGUGAGUGAAGUCGACCUUCUGUAAGGUUUUUAUUCUGUGCCAAUGUGGUAUGGCUAUUAAUCAGACACAGCACUUUGUUAUUUUACUCUGUCUAACGCCAGAUGAUUUUACUCGUCAGGGGGAGAGUUCUGUCACUCAAUGGGUUAAACAAAUGGCAGCACUCUCCACUUGACAAGUAAAAUUGUCUGGCGUUAGACAGAGUAAAAUACUAAAGUAGGGUGCAUCAGGGUGUAUUGGCACAGGAUUAAGAGGAUGCACAGACGGUUUUUUGGUUAACCCGUUUAGUGGCAGCACUCUCCACUUAAUUGACCAGUAAAAUCAUCUGGCAUUAGACAGAGUAAAAUCAUCUUGGCAAGUAAAAUACUAAAGUAGGGUGCAUUGGCACACCUAAAGGGUUUAGAAAAUUUGUUAUGUUUAUAUGUGAUUAUUAAGUGUGUGAUUACAAAAUGGACAGGUGUUCUGUAUUAAAUUCCACCUCACAAUUUAUCUUGUAGAAGAAACAGGCUUUACGCAGGUUAUCGCAGGGUUCGGCAGGUCAAGGCAUGCGUAAAGAUGACAUAAGGCGGAAGUUGGAAGCUAGAAGACGUCUUGCUGCUUCAGGUUCAGACGGCAGUGAAAGAAAAUUCCCCAGGGGAAAUGUAAGACAAG